GUCUACGGCCAUACCACCCUGAACAUGCCUGAUCUCAUCUGAUCUUGGAAGCUAAGCAGGCUCGGGCCUGGCUAGUACUUGGAUGGGAGAACUCUUGCUUUCAUUCCCA
rnacentral:rRNA from 1 species